GUAUACCUUUCUCAUCAUCUUGAAAGAUUUCUUCGUCAUCACAACCGAAGUAUCCAUCACAAGGGUUAUUUCUAUUUAUGCCUACCAGUCCACACUGAUUGUGAGGGAAACAGAAUGGAGCACACUUUCGAUACGUUGGCAUUUUAAUUUACAAGACGAAUUGUCCUGAAGAAAUUCAGUCAAGUUAGACCAACAAUUAUUCCGCUAUAAAGCCUGAAAUUUGCUCUUCAGAAUUUGACUGUGAAAUUUGAUGCUAUAUUAUUUCGAAAACUGCCACUAAUUUUUCUUCAGUUGUCGCACGCUUUAUAUUUCUGAAGCUCUGACCAAGCACAGACAGAGAUUCGAGCGUGCAAAUAUUCUCUUUAAUUUGUAUGACACGGCAAAAACAUAAGUGGGCAAGUCCAAAACAUCAGCUAACACCUGUUUCAGG